rnacentral:rRNA from 1 species
CCUACGGGAGGCAGCAGUGAGGAAUAUUGGUCAAUGGACGAGAGUCUGAACCAGCCAAGUCGCGUGAAGGAUGACUGCCCUAUGGGUUGUAAACUUCUUUUAUAUGGGAAUAAAAUGUUCCACGUGUGGGAUUUUGUAUGUACCAUAUGAAUAAGGAUCGGCUAACUCCGUGCCAGCAGCCGCGGUAAUACGGAGGAUCCGAGCGUUAUCCGGAUUUAUUGGGUUUAAAGGGAGCGUAGGUGGAUUGUUAAGUCAGUUGUGAAAGUUUGGGGCUCAACCGUAAAAUUGCAGUUGAAACUGGCAGUCUUGAGUACAGUAGAGGGAGGCGGAAUUCGUGGUGUAGCGGUGAAAUGCUUAGAUAUCACGAAGAACUCCGAUUGCGAAGGCAGCUCACUGGACUGCAACUGACACUGAGGCUCGAAAGUGUGGGGAUCAAACAGGAUUAGAUACCCCUGUAGUC